rnacentral:rRNA from 1 species
GAUGAACGCUGACAGAAUGCUUAACACAUGCAAGUCUACCAAGAAUCACUUCGGUGAGGAAUGGUGGCGGACGGGUGAGUAACGCGUAAAUAAUCUGCCCUUUAGACUGGGAUAUCCUUUGGAAACGAAGGUUAAUACCGGAUAUUAUGAGAUGGACGCAUGUUCAACUUAUGAAAGCUAAAUGCACUAGAAGAGGAGUUUGCGUCCCAUUAGCUUGUUGGUGAGGUAAAGGCUCACCAAGGCCACGAUGGGUAGCCGGCCUGAGAGGGUGAACGGCCACAAGGGAACUGAGACACGGUCCUUACUCCUACGGGAGGCAGCAGUGGGGAAUAUUGGACAAUGGACCAAAAGUCUGAUCCAGCAAUUCUGUGUGCACGAUGAAGGUCUUCGGAUUGUAAAGUGCUUUCAGUAGGGAAGAAAAAAAUGACGGUACCUACAGAAGAAGCGACGGCUAAAUAUGUGCCAGCCGCCGCAGUAAUAC